UGAAAAUGAUGGGUCAACCCCCAAUAACCCAUAAUUUAUGAAUGACAAGUAUUAAUGAUCUACAGUUUCUUCUAUAUAUCUUUUUUACAACAAAUAAAUUUCACCCAUCAAGCUACAUAAUUAAUUUUACUAUCAUGUGUAAAAUGUGACAAAUUCAAGCUCAGAUAAUCCAUCCAAUGCUACUUGGUUUAUCUUGAGGUGAGGUAGCCAAUUCAAUAUCCAGGCAUAAUCUUAAAAAGUUUCUUUGAUGAGUUGAUGUCAGAUGAAGGCGUGGGUCUCCACGCCACAGCCUACAGCCACAUAAACAUAUGUAUAAUAAGAUAGCUAGUUCCAAGUUCCAACUCCACAACCACAAGUCUCAUGUGGGCCAUUUUCUCAUAAAGUUGCACUAGAAAAUGCCACUAUGCAUCACUUCGAACUUUUAUUAUCCCAUUUUGGGAAAAUUUGUACCAGAUGUGAAUAACUAGAUAUUGUACAUAACAUAGCCACGUAUGCAUAAGAAGAACUUGCAUUCUUGAAAUUACAGUGGCCAAUUUAACUAUAUUUUGGCCUUUUAUAACCUUGAUUAUUCUUUAUAGAAUUCAGAAUAUUUCGGAGACUAUAGAUGUUCAAGCUUGAGCAAAAAUAGGUCUACCCUUCUUUGAGCUCAUUGCAAUAUAGCACACUAAAUGUAUAUAAUCUGUACGUCUUUCGAAUCCAAUGCAUAUGUGUAUAUUAUCACUGGAGACCAGAGACAAAAGUUACUCCAGUAGAAGGCAGCCAAGAUGUUCCAGCAAUAAAAUUACCAACAGUAAACUUGACAGCCUCUUGAGUUCCGAUAACUCGAAAUCCAGGCCAGUUUACCCUAUUGGAGGUUCCAGCUCCAGGGCCUGUAUUCGAGUACUCUGCAUAGUAGAGCGUUUUCCCGUAGGACCCUGCACCAGGCCACUCGAUCCAACCCCUCGAUGAAAUAGCAUCAUCUAUAUUCGAUUGCAUUAUGACUGAUCUCGAAUACUGCUUCCACGGCCUUCCCAGAUACGAGUUGAAGCUGUGCUUAACCGGAGAAAAAUCUGAGCUCCCUGUGAUUUUACAAUUAUGUAGAGCAAAGCCGGUGUUCUGUCCAGGGUCCGUCCUUCCAUUGGCUAGAAUUACAUUGUAGGCUCCUCUCUGAGGCCGGCGAAGCACCAAGUAGCAAUUCUGGAAAACAGCAGCUGCGUUGCCAAAAAUGAAGUCUAUGGUGCCAUAAAUGUCGCAUUCUCUGUAGAAUUGGCGGAGCGCAAGUGCAUAUAAGGUGUCUUGGUAGCCUGAGAUGCUGCAUCUGUAUAGAACUGAAUGAUCUGAGGCAAUGUAUAGAGCCAAUGCUUGUUCUCCUUGAGGUCCUGCUGUGUUCUGAAAUCCAAUGUCACGAGCUAUGAAUCCAUCGCCUGUAAUUGUGAAAGUGGCAGAGUCAGGCAUGGAAGAACCUCCAGCUACACUGUCAUCACCAGCAAUAAUGGUGGAGUAUUUACCAUCUCCUAUUAAAGUAAUACCAUCUUUAUUGGUGCGAAUUUUCUCUUUGUAAACUCCUGACUUCACAUAAAUCACAAACCGACCUCCACUAGCUGCUUUGAUUGCUUCUGAUAUUGUUUUAUAGUUGCCUGUUCCGUCUUUUGCAACCACUGCAUUCGCCUUGAUGGUGCUAGUUUGAAGAAGUUUUCGAUCUCUCGCUGAUACCCACUUGGGAAAAUCUUCUACUUCCUCGCCUAGAUGUCGACUUCUAGUGUUAUUUUCAAGCUUAACUCCAUUACCAGCAAUCCUGUUAACUAGAGCUAAAGGGUUGCUGGCCAAUUGAGAAAGAUAAUCCAUUUUACUUGAAAUUUGGGAGUUGAUAUCAACAAGACUGUCGGCAGAAUCUUUGCAGGCUUGUUGGAAGGUCAAGGCUGCACUUAGCCAGGUUUGGAUGUCGUUCUUUUUCUUUUCUGGAGAUUCUUUCAGUGCCAACAGCGACUUGUCUAGCCGUUUGAGAGACAUCUUCAUGAGAUUUUCACAAUAAUCUGUGACGGAUUUGGCAAGUUGAGCAUCUUGGAUUUCCAAUUGGGAGCCAAGUGUUUGGAAGUAGGAGCUAGGCAGCUUGGUCUCCGAAAUUGUCUUGUUAACGAGAGCAGACAUAAUAUGAACAGGAUGAUCCCUUAACUCCAUCAAGGUAUUUUGACACAGGCUAGGAUAUCGAGUGAAGCUGCAUUCCCUUCGGACCUUAGCUUGGAAAUUGACAUCCAAGGGAACACCCCAAGACAUGGAGGCUCCUAGGGCAGAUACUAGAAUCCCAAAAACCAGCAAAUGUGGCAUUCCCAUAUCAAAUAAACUAGCUAAAUAAGCUAAAAAGUUUAGCCAAAGAGGGAUCGAGUGAUUCCUUAAGCUAUCAUGAAAACUUAGCAGAAGGGAGAUUGAUAUUUAUAGUGAAGGAAGUUCUCUUUGGGCACGCUUUUGAAAAGUUCCACGGAAUAUUUUUGUUCGUUCGGUGGUCUAUUUUGCUAGAAUAUUGACAAAGAAGUGGUGCCCAUAUGCGUAGGGUCUGGUUAGCCACCGGGUCUUGGCCUCAGC
rnacentral:misc_RNA from 1 species